UACGGGGGGGGGCAAGCGUUGUUCGGAAUUACUGGGCGUAAAGGGCUCGUAGGUGGCCAACUAAGUCAGACGUGAAAUCCCUCGGCUUAACCGGGGAACUGCGUCUGAUACUGGAUGGCUUGAGUUCGGGAGAGGGGUGCGGAAUUCCAGGUGUAGCGGUGAAAUGCGUAGAUAUCUGGAGGAACACCGGUGGCGAAGGCGGCAUCCUGGACCGGUAUUGACGCUGAGGAGCGAAAGCCAGGGGGAGCAAACGGG
rnacentral:rRNA from 1 species